rnacentral:rRNA from 1 species
CCUACGGGAGGCUGCAGUGAGGAAUAUUGGUCAAUGGACGAGAGUCUGAACCAGCCAAGUAGCGUGAAGGAUGACUGCCCUAUGGGUUGUAAACUUCUUUUAUAUGGGAAUAAAACGUUCCACGUGUGGGAUUUUGUAUGUACCCUAUGAAUAAGGAUCGGCUAACUCCGUGCCAGCAGCCGCGGUAAUACGGAGGAUCCGAGCGUUAUCCGGAUUUAUUGGGUUUAAAGGGAGCGUAGGUGGAUUGUUAAGUCAGUUGUGAAAGUUUGCGGCUCAACCGUAAAAUUGCAGUUGAAACUGGCAGUCUUGAGUACAGUAGAGGUGGGCGGAAUUCGUGGUGUAGCGGUGAAAUGCUUAGAUAUCACGAAGAACUCCGAUUGCGAAGGCAGUUCACUGGACUGCAACCGACACUGAGGCUCGAAAGUGUGGGUAUCAAACAGGAUUAGAUACCCCAGUAGUC